GGCUGCUGGCUUCAUUGCUGGCGGCUGCUGUUGGGAGAGCUCUAUCAUGGCGAGCGUUUGGGCUUCGGUCUGAACUAGUAGCUUUUUUAAACCCAUUCUUUAUAACUGAUUAUACUGUAGGGACGAAAGUCUCUGCUUUUAACUAGAUAGCAACUUUCAGCAGUGGAUGUCUAGGCUCGCACAUCGAUGAAGAACGCUGCGAACUGCGAUACGUAAUGCGAAUUGCAGGAUUCAGUGAGUCAUCGAAAUUUUGAACGCAUAUUGCACUUCCGGGUUAGUCCUGGGAGUAUGCCUGUAUCAGUGUCCGUACAUCAAACUUGGUUUUCUUCCUUCCGUGUAGUCGGUGGUGGAUGUGCCAGAUGUGAAGUGUCUUGCGGCUGGUCUUCGGAUCGGCUGUGAGUCCUUUGAAAUGUACUGAACUGUACUUCUCUUUGCUCCAAAAGCGUGGCGUUGCUGAUUGUGGAGGCUGCUUGCGUAGCCAGUCUGGCGACCAGUUUGUCUGCUGUGGCGUUAAUGGAGGAGUGUUCGAUUCGCGGUAUGGUUGGCUUCGGCUGAACAGACGCUUAUUGAAUAUUUCUUCAGCUGUGGUGGUAUGAUUGGUGAACCGUAGCUAUGUGAGCUUGGCUUUUGAAUUGGCUUUGCUGUUGCGAAGUAGAGUGGCGGCUUCGGCYYYYYYGGYUCGAUCCAUUUGGGAACUUGUGUAUGCUUCGGCAUGCA
rnacentral:misc_RNA from 1 species